UUAACACAUGCAAGUCGAGGGGCAGCAUUUUAGUUUGCUUGCAAACUGAAGAUGGCGACCGGCGCACGGGUGAGUAGCACGUAUCCAACCUGCCGAUAACUCCGGAAUAGCCUUUCGAAAGAAAGAUUAAUACCGGAUGGCAUACGAAUAUCGCAUGAUAUUUUUAUUAAAGAAUUUCGGUUAUCGAUGGGGAUGCGUUCCAUUAGUUUGUUGGCGGGGUAACGGCCCACCAAGACUACGAUGGAUAGGGGUUCUGAGAGGAAGGUCCCCCACAUUGGAACUGAGACACGGUCCAAACUCCUACGGGAGGCAGCAGUGAGGAAUAUUGGUCAAUGGGCGCGAGCCUGAACCAGCCAAGUAGCGUGAAGGAUGAAGGCUCUAUGGGUCGUAAACUUCUUUUAUAUGGGAAUAAAGUUUUCCACGUGUGGAAUUUUGUAUGUACCAUAUGAAUAAGGAUCGGCUAACUCCGUGCCAGCAGCCGCGGUAAUACGGAGGAUCCGAGCGUUAUCCGGAUUUAUUGGGUUUAAAGGGAGCGUAGGUGGAUUGUUAAGUCAGUUGUGAAAGUUUGCGGCUCAACCGUAAAAUUGCAGUUGAAACUGGCAGUCUUGAGUACAGUAGAGGUGGGCGGAAUUCGUGGUGUAGCGGUGAAAUGCUUAGAUAUCACGAAGAACUCCGAUUGCGAAGGCAGCUCACUAGACUGUCACUGACACUGAUGCUCGAAAGUGUGGGUAUCAAACAGGAUUAGAUACCCUGGUAGUCCACACAGUAAACGAUGAAUACUCGCUGUUUGCGAUAUACAGUAAGCGGCCAAGCGAAAGCAUUAAGUAUUCCACCUGGGGAGUACGCCGGCAACGGUGAAACUCAAAGGAAUUGACGGGGGCCCGCACAAGCGGAGGAACAUGUGGUUUAAUUCGAUGAUACGCGAGGAACCUUACCCGGGCUUAAAUUGCAACAGAAUAUAUUGGAAACAGUAUAGCCGUAAGGCUGUUGUGAAGGUGCUGCAUGGUUGUCGUCAGCUCGUGCCGUGAGGUGUCGGCUUAAGUGCCAUAACGAGCGCAACCCUUAUCUUUAGUUACUAACAGGUCAUGCUGAGGACUCUAGAGAGACUGCCGUCGUAAGAUGUGAGGAAGGUGGGGAUGACGUCAAAUCAGCACGGCCCUUACGUCCGGGGCUACACACGUGUUACAAUGGGGGGUACAGAAGGCGGCUACCUGGUGACAGGAUGCUAAUCCCAAAAACCUCUCUCAGUUCGGAUCGAAGUCUGCAACCCGACUUCGUGAAGCUGGAUUCGCUAGUAAUCGCGCAUCAGCCAUGGCGCGGUGAAUACGUUCCCGGGCCUUGUACACACCGCCCGUCAAGCCAUGAAAGCCGGGGGUACCUGAAGUACGUAACCGCAAGGAGCGUCCUAGGGUAAAACUGGUAAUUGGC
rnacentral:rRNA from 1 species